UGAAGCAUGUCUUCUCCGCUUGGAAGGGCCUAUUUCAGCACAACUUGUACCCAAAAUAUGGUUAAUAAGUGCACAGGGGUACCUUUUUUUUUUUAACUUUGCUUUCUGUACGUCUAUAUAAAUCUGAGGAGCAAAUUCAUUGCUGACCUCAGAGAGAACCGCUACUCCUUGUCAUUCCUCUUUCCUUGAUUUUUUGCCCCAAAUCCAAGAUGAGAGUUUUCUGCAUCUUGAUUGUCUUCUUUUUUAUGCUGGCUACGUGUCAAGGAGCCCCACUACAUAAACAUCAUGCUAUGAAAAAGUUCCAUGGAAAGAAAACCUGCAUCCCUCAAAAGAUAAGCAUCCCACUGGAAGACAAGAACAGCAGUUCGGUAUAUGACUUUAUUUGGUAGUGAUUCAGACGCAACUCUAAGAAGCAAGAUAAUGGUACAUCUGCCAUCAUCAAUGUGCUGUCCUUCUGGGUGUCUAUUCUGCUCACAUAGAGGAACCUGAUUAAAUCU